rnacentral:rRNA from 1 species
UACGUAGGGUGCAAGCGUUAAUCGGAAUUACUGGGCGUAAAGCGUGCGCAGGCGGUGAUUUAAGUCAGAUGUGAAAUCCCCGGGCUCAACCUGGGAACUGCAUUUGUUACUGCAUCGCUGGAGUGCGGCAGAGGGGGGUGGAAUUCCACGUGUAGCAGUGAAAUGCGUAGAGAUGUGGAGGAACACCGAUGGCGAAGGCAGCCCCCUGGGCUAACACUGACGCUCAUGCACGAAAGCGUGGGGAGCAAACAGG